UUAGACUUUUACUUCAGAUUGUUUUCAAGGACUUGACCAUAACCCUUAAGACGGUUGGACCAUAAUCGAAUAUUGAAAAGUAGACCGGUACUGUUGCAGUAACAGUAAUUUGCGUAUGUCAUUAUUGACCGGGAUAUGGCUGCAGCCCUUAUGAGAAGGGAUUCUUUGCUCUCGAAAAACACACCAAAUUUUCUAGUGUUGGUUGGCUUACGUAUGGAUUAGCUCUGGUGGCCGCUUUCUGUUUCAAACUUAAAUUCAUUAACUGAUUUUGAAUUGUUUGGUUUGUGCAAUUGAUGAUGUUGAAAUUCUCUGAUAUUUUCAAAAUCAAACGCAUUAAUAAAUCCAAGUAAUUCUAUGAAGAGACGGAAGUGAAGGAGCACAGGAAGUACGCCGCUGUGAUUUCUCAUCCAUAAAGGAAGCGCAUAAACGCAUCAACUCACAUACACAAAACUCCGGCUCUGUCCUCGGAGUUUCUAAACGUUAGACGUCAUAGGCUUACAAAUUUGACACAGCGGAUUUGUCUUUGCACCACAUCCGAGCACAUUAACUCUCCAGAGUCACUUUUGUGUACGCUUCUUUUCACUUAAGGUUGGUUUCGUUCUGCCUUUGACACAUCUAACCCCUUUCAGGCUGUACACAGAUGGUUAAUCUUUUCUUCAAUAUCAGACACACUGUCAAUCUUAGAGCAACUUCCCACCUUUAAUAUCACUAUCAAACCGACAAUCUCGCUUUUCAUUUUACUGCCCAUGUCACAAUUAUUCCCUUUGAGCAAUGACACUUUCCCCUAAUCUACUGUGUGCUCAUCUCUCAGAGAACCAUGCCUUCAUGUCCAAAGAUUUGGCUUGCAGCACCAUAAUUGGCUAAAGGAGCGCCCACCUCUCGGGCGCCACUACGUCGUCCCCUUAAGACUCCCUGCUUCCACCCUAGUGCACGCUUAAUGGAUGUUGCAUUUCGCCUGCCAUUUGUGGUCCCCUCUCCCACCCCUCAGUGACCACUUUUUUAUGGGCUUACAGAUUUGCGGCACCCUGAGCACACAACUCUCCAGAGUCAGUCUUGCAUACACCUUUUUAGGGCUCCUGCCUAGCGAGUGACUCGAGCUUUUGAUCAAUUUGUAUAAGGAUGACCUAGUUCUUUUUUCAGUAACACACAAAACUCCACUCUAUCACACGAAUCCUAGAGCAAUUUCCCACCUUUGGCUCUUCCAAUUUUGCUGCCCAUUUUACAAUGAUUUACUUUGAGCUGUGACACUCUCCCCCACUCGAUCGUAUGCACGCUCUUAUGCACGUCUCUCGGAGAAAGUCGUCUUCAAGUCCAAAGAUUCGGUUUGCAGCACCCUACUUAGCUAAUGGAACGCCCACCUCUUGCAGAUCCAAGUGUGGUCUUUAUCUUAGAGCUUGCCAACCCCUGACAAUUCAAAAUUUCAGUUGCCCAGGGGGAUGGAUCCUGUUCAAUAGGGACCCACGGUGGUGCCACCAUGCAUCCAAGAGAGUUGGGGUUGGAGCCGCUCCUGAUUAUCAAGGAGGAUGAAACCAGUGACCUAUGCCCAAAAAGAGUGCACACAAAACUGACUCUCGACAGUUGGUGUACUAGGGCUGCUGCAUGGACAGUUCCAUUGUGCCAAAUCUGUAAGCCCAGACCUAUAUCUGGAAGGAGUCUCUUCUGUAAAUGUGAAUGUUUCCAGGAGUGGAAAAAAGAAACUAUUUUUCAUUGAAUUUCUCAAAUUUUAUCUUCAUUUUUUAUUUUUCUAAGGUGGCAUCAAAUAUUAUCUGAAAUGCUGCUACGUUCGCUCGAUGAUGAUAAAGCUGCCAAAGGAGUUGUAAUGUAACCCAUAGCAGGUUUUUACUGAGCUUAUUGGAUGCCUCGUAGUUUUAAGGUUGCGAGGGAUCGCAGCCCUCAUAGUUGUACCAAAAAAUGCUCCGAAAUGCAAAGCUGAGAAUGUUAUGCGUUAUGGUGGUCAGGUUAUAUGGCGUGAAGUCACAAUACAGUCCAGGUAGAGUGUUGGAAGGAACUUCUGCAACUCUUACACAUCCGUAUAAUGAUGGUCACAUAAUAAGCUCAAUCAAAAGCAGCUGGUAGGAUUAUAACUUUGCCUGAAACCAACGCGCUUGCUGAUGAGCUUUGUGCUUUUCUCAGAGAUCUUACCAUAAACAGCUUAUUGUCUGCUUAGCUGCAGAAACAAGUUUGUGAGGUUGUAUGCAAAUACUUCGCAGAAAUGUAACUAAUUCCUGAGAUGCUCUCUGUUUUAUAUUAAACAAUUUCAUUUUGAUGCUA